rnacentral:misc_RNA from 1 species
AAAGUCGUAACAAGGUUUCCGUAGGUGAACCUGCGGAAGGAUCAUUAUGAAUUUGAUCAAGCCAGAGGUUUUAUUACCUCUGUGCUUUUCAUUUUCUGUGAACUGGCGCUCUUUUCUCUCUUGGGAGAUUGUGAGUGUACUUGUAUUCUUGAUUUCUAUUCCAAUCCAUGUUUGAUUGAAUCUCCUCCGCAAGGAGAGAAUCAGUUGAAUGUUUAUAAACCAAGACAACUUUCAGCAAUGGAUCUCUUGGCUCUU